ACAUCAUAAGUCCAAUUACUUAUUUCAGAUCUAACCCCUUUAUUUUAUGAUCCCAUAGGUUCAAUUCUAUCUGGUAAUGAGAUAUACCAUGAUCUUGAAGGAAAAAACUAUCUUUUUCCUUGUAGGAUCUUCCAGAUCUAAUGAGAUCUGGGGUGAAAUAUUCUAAAAAAAAUUUAUUCUACUUUAUUUUAGAUCUAAGAUCUAUUAGAUCUAAUUCUUAUUAUUUGAUAUUUAAUCUAAAAUUAAAUC
rnacentral:lncRNA from 1 species